rnacentral:lncRNA from 1 species
CCCCCCCCCCCCAGUGGACGGGGACCCCCACUUCGUGGCCAGCGUGCGGGGGGCGCCGCAGCCCCUCUGCUUCACCCUCGACGGCCGCCCGGGCGACGUCCUGCAGCUGCUCACCGACCGGCGCCUCGGGCUGAGGGUCCACGGGCACCUGGUGGGCGCCCCGCCGUGGCCCCGCGCCCCGUCCCGACCCCGCACCUUCCUCGACGCCCUCACCCUCUCGGCGGGCGCCGCCGCCGUCGCCGUCACCCCGCGGGGGAUCCGCGUCACUGGGGGGGGGGCCCCCCCGGUCUCCCUGCCCUUCUCCAGCCCUGCCAGGCUCCGCCGCCCCCCCCUGACGCUGCAGGUGGGCCGGGGGGGCCGCCUCCACCUCCUCCUGGGCCCCCGCUUGAGAUUCGGGGUGCUGCGCCACCGCUACGGCCGCCCCGGCGCCCUGCAGCGCGACCACCUCGGCUUCUACGUCCGCGACGGCGCCGGCCUGUCCCCAAAAACGGGGGGGCUCCUAGGGCGGCUGCGGGGCGUCCGGCUGGCUGCUUCGGGGACGCCGGGGACGGCGCGGCUGCAGCGGGGCGAGGUGGGGGUGACAGCCACGCUGGUGGCCAAAAGGGGGCCGGGGGGGGCCCCGCACCCCAGCUGCUGGCUGGUGCCGCGCCCCGAGGUGCUGGCGCUGCUGGGGGGGCCCUACGGGGCUUUCCUGGCCCCCCCUUCGGUGCUGGGCUGAAGGGGGGCAUAAAAAACAAACAAAAACAAACUGGGGAGGGCCCCCCCCAAAGGCACCAGCGUCACCGCCCCGAAAUCUGCAGCGGGCGGCCCCGUUUUUGGGGGGAUUUCCCCAUUUUUGGGGGGAUUUCCCCAUUUUUGGGGGGAUUUCCCCAUUUUUGGGGGGAUUUCCCCAUUUUUGGGGUGCCGACAUAAGGUGAACCCCCUAACCCCCCCCCUCACCCCCCUCAAAAAAUUGGGGACCUCUCU